CGGUAAUUCCAGCUCCAAUAGCGUAUACUAAAGUUGUUGCAGUUAAAAAGCUCGUAGUUGGAUUUCUGCGGGGACGGAGCGGCCGGUCGCAACUUGCGACUCGAGCUAGCGCUUUCCCCGCAUCCUGCCGCGAACCGUGCUACCAUUAGCUUGGUGGCGCUGGGGAUCGGCUCGAUUACUUUGAGAAAAAUAGAGUGUUCAAAGCAGGCCACACGCCUUGAAUAAGUUAGCAUGGAAUAAUGACUAAGGACUUCGGUUCUAUUUUGUUGGUGUUCGGGACUGAAGUAAUGAUUGAUAGGGACAGUUGGGGCGGUCUGUAUUCCAAAGCGAGAGGUGAAAUUCUUAGACCUUCGGAAGACAAACAGCUGCGAAAGCGUUCCGCAAGGAUGUUCCCUUUGAUCAAGAACGAAAGUUGGGGGAUCGAAGACGAUCAGAUACCGUCGUAGUCUCAACUAUAAACUAUACCAGCUAGGGAUCGGUCAACGUUUAAUCAUUCGACUUGAUCGGCACCUUAUGAGAAAUCAAAGCAUCUGGGUUCCGGGGGGAGUAUGGUCGCAAGGCUGAAACUUAAAGGAAUUGACGGAAGGGCACCACCAGCCGUGGAGCCUGUGGCUUAAUUUGACUCAACACGGGAAAACUUACCAGGUCCAGACAUAGUAAGGAUUGACAGAUUGAUAGCUCUUUCUUGAUUCUGUGGGUGGUGGUGCAUGGCCGUUCUUAGUUGGUGGAGUGAUUUGUCUGGUUAAUUCCGUUAACGAACGAGACCCCAGCCUGCUAAAUAGCGCGGUUGAGCUUUGCUCGAUGCGAGCUUCUUAGAGGGACUAUGAUGCGCGAUAGCACAUGGAAGUUUGGGGCAAUAACAGGUCUGUGAUGCCCUUAGAUGUUCUGGUCCGCACACGGGCUACACUGGCGCCUGCAACGAGCAUAUCAGCUGGCCCGAGAGGGUCUUGGCUAAUCUUUUGAACCGGCGCCGUGCUUGGGAUUGACCAUUGCAAUUGUUGGUCAUGCAACGAGGAAUGCCUUGUAAACGCGAGUCAUCAGCUCGCAUUGAAUACGUCCCUGCCCUUUGUACACACCGCCCGUCGCUCCUACCGAUGAAUGUUCCGAUGAAAUUUUCGGAGAGCGCCAGAGAACGGGGCUCUGCCUUGCAGAUCUGGAGGCUCAAAGUCACUUAAAUCUGAACAUUUCGAGGAAGGAGAAGUCGUAACAAGGUAACC
rnacentral:rRNA from 1 species